rnacentral:tRNA from 1 species
GCCUGGGUGGCUCAGUCGGUUAAGCUUCCGACUUUAGCUCAGGUCACCAUUUCGUGGUCCGUGAGUUCGAGCCCCGCUUCAGGCU